rfam:Canis lupus familiaris chromosome 19, whole genome shotgun sequence.
AACUUUGCGCAGUGGCAGUAUCAUAGCCAAUGAGGUUUAUCCAAGGCACAAUUAUUGCUAAUCGAAAGAUACUGAUGAAAUAAAGAAGAGAUAAAGAAGUGGAUAGAUUUUAUAAGCUCAUGUAUUGGAAGAAUUAAUU